GUUCCAGAUUAUGCAUGCAGUGCGCACCGAUGCAGUAACAGCGCAUACAGCUCCGCAGUGCAACGCUGCACCCCAGAAUUGACUACCAGGUUAUGCAGCACACACCAGCGUAGCGGAGUCCCUGCAGUCCACUAAUCCUAGGUUGACCCAGUCAAUAUCUCUGUGUUAUUUUCAGGUUUAUACAGUACGCAUAGGCGCAGCAGCAACACAUGCAUCCCCACGGUGCCAAUCUAUAAUCUACGCUAAUGUCAGGCGUGCGUAGGCGCAGUGACAACGUUUGCAUCCCCGCAGCGUGGCACCACCCCCACAACUGGCUUACAGAUAAUUCUAUUAAUCUAUUAAUUAUCUAUUCCACUUAGAUUUUCCAUAAACAACACUAAUCAAUGCCUCAACUUAU